rnacentral:lncRNA from 1 species
GCCUAAGGGAUAUGGAAAAUUUAUGGAGGCCUGCGAUAAUCAUUCGGUAUUCGUAAGUUUAGAAGCAUGAGGACACGGACUCAAGUUCACUCCUAGCUGGUUGACUUCCAAAUGUACUCUUCUUCUUGGAUCCAUUUUACAUUCCCAGACGCAGGUUUGAUUCUGAUGAUUGCACAAGUAAUUAAUAAAUCAUGACAUGUAGGUGCAGUUACAUUAAAACAUCAAGUGCUGUA